GAUGAACGCUGGCGGCGUGCCUAAUACAUGCAAGUCGAGCGAACAGACGAGGAGCUUGCUCCUCUGACGUUAGCGGCGGACGGGUGAGUAACACGUGGAUAACCUACCUAUAAGACUGGGAUAACUUCGGGAAACCGGAGCUAAUACCGGAUAAUAUAUUGAACCGCAUGGUUCAAUAGUGAAAGACGGUUUUGCUGUCACUUAUAGAUGGAUCCGCGCCGCAUUAGCUAGUUGGUAAGGUAACGGCUUACCAAGGCAACGAUGCGUAGCCGACCUGAGAGGGUGAUCGGCCACACUGGAACUGAGACACGGUCCAGACUCCUACGGGAGGCGGCAGUAGGGAAUCUUCCGCAAUGGGCGAAAGCCUGACGGAGCAACGCCGCGUGAGUGAUGAAGGUCUUCGGAUCGUAAAACUCUGUUAUUAGGGAAGAACAAAUGUGUAAGUAACUAUGCACGUCUUGACGGUACCUAAUCAGAAAGCCACGGCUAACUACGUG
rnacentral:rRNA from 1 species